rnacentral:rRNA from 1 species
AGUGAACGCUGGCGGUAGGCCUAACACAUGCAAGUCGAACGGCAGCACAGUAAGAGCUUGCUCUUACGGGUGGCGAGUGGCGGACGGGUGAGGAAUACAUCGGAAUCUACUUUUUCGUGGGGGAUAACGUAGGGAAACUUACGCUCAUACCGCAUACGACCUACGGGUGAAAGCAGGGGAUCUUCGGACCUUGCGCGAUUGAAUGAGCCGAUGUCGGAUUAGCUAGUUGGCGGGGUAAAGGCCCACCAAGGCGACGAUCCGUAGCUGGUCUGAGAGGAGGAUCAGCCACACUGGAACUGAGACACGGUCCAGACUCCUAAGGGAGGCAGCAGUGGGGAAUAUUGGACAAUGGGCGCAAGCCUGAUCCAGCCAUACCGCGUGGGUGAAGAAGGCCUUCGGGUUGUAAAGCCCUUUUGUUGGGAAAGAAAAGCAGCAGGUUAAUACCCCGCUGUUCUGACGGUACCCAAAGAAUAAGCACCGGCUAACUUCGUG